rnacentral:rRNA from 1 species
AGUGAACGCUGGCGGCGUGCUUAACACAUGCAAGUCGAACGAGAACGGGUUAUAGCUUGCUAUAAUUGUCAGCUAAGUGGCGCACGGGUGAGUAAUGUAUAGGUAAUAUGCCUCUUACUAAGGGAUAACAAAUGGAAACGUUUGCUAAUACCUUAUACUCCUUUUAAACAGAAGUUUAAAAGGGAAAGAUUCAUUGGUAAGAGAUUAGCCUGUAUUGUAUCAGUUAGUUGGUGGGGUAAUGGCUUACCAAGACUAUGACACAUAACUGGUUUGAGAGGAUGAUCAGUCACACUGGAACUGAGACACGGUCCAGACUCCUACGGGAGGCAGCAGUGGGGAAUAUUGCACAAUGGACGAAAGUCUGAUGCAGCAACGCCGCGUGGAGGAUGACACAUUUCGGUGCGUAAACUCCUUUUAUAUGAGAAGAUAAUGACGGUAUUAUAUGAAUAAGCACCGGCUAACUCCGUGCCAGCAGCCGCGGUAA